rnacentral:rRNA from 1 species
AUUGAACGCUGGCGGCAGGUCUAACACAUGCAAGUCGAACGAGGGGCAGCCGGGUGAGUAAUGUCUGGGAACCUGCAUGAUGGAGGGGGAUAACUACUGGACACGGUAGCUAAUACCGCAUACCAUCGGAUGUGCCCAGAUGGGAUUAGCUAGUAGGAUGGGUAAAGGCUAACCUAGGCGACGAUCCCUAGCUGGUCAGAGAGGAUGACAAGCCACACUGGAACUGAGACACGGCCCAGACUCCGACGGGAGGCAGCAGUGGGGAAUUUUGGACAAUGGGGGAAACCCGGAUCCAGCCAGCCCGCGUGUAUGAUGAAGGCCUUCGGGUUGUAAAGUACUUUUGGCAGAGAAGCGGUAUCUGCAGAAUAAGCACCGGCUAACUACGUGCCAGCAGCCGCGGUAAUUC